CCUACGGGCGGCUGCAGUGGGGAAUAUUGGACAAUGGGGGGAACCCUGAUCCAGCCAUGCCGCGUGUGUGAAGAAGGCCCUCGGGUUGUAAAGCACUUUCAGUGAGGAAGAACGCCUGGUGGUUAAUACCCAUCAGGAAAGACAUCACUCACAGAAGAAGCACCGGCUAACUCCGUGCCAGCAGCCGCGGUAAUACGGAGGGUGCGAGCGUUAAUCGGAAUUACUGGGCGUAAAGCGCGCGUAGGUGGCAUGAUAAGCCGGUUGUGAAAGCCCCGGGCUCAACCUGGGAACGGCAUCCGGAACUGUCAAGCUAGAGUGCAGGAGAGGAAGGUAGAAUUCCCGGUGUAGCGGUGAAAUGCGUAGAGAUCGGGAGGAAUACCAGUGGCGAAGGCGGCCUUCUGGACUGACACUGACACUGAGGUGCGAAAGCGUGGGUAGCAAACAGGAUUAGAUACCCUAGUAGUC
rnacentral:rRNA from 1 species